CUUAAUUGAGAAAUUGAGUCUCUCAUAGUUAGAACCUGCUCUAAUUCCCUAGCAGAGUCGUCAUACCAUCAUGCCCUAUUUUUGCCAAGGUCAAACAGAACAUGACUUAUUGGACUCUAAAUAAUUAAAAUUUUGUAUAAAAUCGCCACCUAAUUUUUAAAGAAAAAUAAGAAAACCUAUUUAUUUUUAAUACAUAUGAUUAAUGUUUUAGUCUGCAAAAACCUAUUAAGACUCUAGGUAAGGGUUCAAAUUAUCUCGAAGGAAAGGGGUUAAGCACCCUUCAGGAUCCACAAAUGUAGUACCCGACUAGACUAAACUUAUCAAUGAGGGAGGAGAUAUAAAUAUUUAAAAUAAUAUAAAAGUAUAUGUGUAUUAAAUAUAAAAUAAUUCUUUGAAAAAAAUAUAAAUAUUUAAAACCAUGUAAAAGUAUAUGUAUAUUAACUAUGUAAAUAAAAACAUGUAAAAGAUAUGUAUAAAAUGUAUAAACUACAUGUGAAAAAGAAAAGUAUUUUAUGACGUACGAAAAGAAAUGUAUUUUAAUGUGUCAUGAAAAGAAAAGGUAUUUACAAGUAAUAUUUUUAUUUUAUUUAAAUUAUGAAAAAGUAAAAUUUAUUUGAGAAAAAAAGAUUACACAAUACGUGAAUUACUUGAUUAACUUGAUUCUUUUAUGUAAAUAUUAACGGCCUAAGUUUUGCCUAAAAGUGAUAAAUUAUGUAAAUAAUGAAUAUCUUCCCCGGCACCCAAAAAGUAAAGUUUUCACUUUUUUUUUAUCUUUAUAUACAAUUAUGCAAAUGAAAAUAAAUUACAAACAUAAAGCUCGAGAAUUAUAUAUAAAUACUUGAUAAAGUUAUAAAAUGAACAAAUUAUUAUUAAAGUAAGUGAAAAUACAUGUACAUAUAAAUGUACAUAUAAAAAUAAAAUUUUGUUAUAACGUCAGCUCGGAUUAAGUUUUAGACUCAUCAUGGCUACAAAGUGGUUGCUCAACUAAUCGGUCGUCUUAAAUCGUCUUGCCAAGAUACGAAUCAUAAAACCUUUUGUGUUGUCGUGGUGUUAUAAAAGUUUCGUCAUUGCCCGAAAUAUUUAAUUUUUUUACUACGUAUUUAUAUACGUAAUAUCCGUCUUUUAUUUGUGGAGACCUCAAAAAUCGACGAAGAAUUUCUUCAUCAGCCAAGCAUUUAUUUUUUGUGUAAAUAAGUAAACUUUGAGAAAUAAAAAUCUGUCUUUUGUUACGGGGUGGCCUCAAGUAUCCGACGGAGAGAUAAUGUCAUUGAUCAAAUGUUGACCCUCGGUAUAAAAUAAUAAAUUUGAGAAAAUAAAGUCCGUCUUUAUAAUGGGAUGGUCUCAAAUAUCCGACGGGGAGAUAGUGUCAUCAGCCAAUUAAUUAAUGGUAUUUAAUAACAAUGAAAAAUGACAAAAAAUUAACAAGGUCACUGAACGCAUAUCAAUAGUAAUUCAAAUGAUUAUCAAAGAUUAAAUAAUAAAAUAACAAAAAGGUCAAAGUUAAAGAAUAAAAAUGAUGUAGCCAUAACGAAGUAACUGAAAAUAAAUAAAAAAUAAAGUAAAAUUUCUAAUUGUGUAACAAAGUAAUGGAAUAAAAUAGAAAUAGUUCAAACAUGAUUGAAAAAUGUGAACAUUCACUAAGAAGUGACAAUAACCAUCAUUAAACAUUCAUAAACAAAGAAAUACGAAAAUAAAUUCAUAUAAAAUAUCAACCAACAAAAUCCUUAAAAAACAUAAUGAAGAUUGAUGGAAAUUGAUAAAAGAAAAAAAGUCACUGAGACACAAAAUUUCGGCCAUGAACAGUAAGAAAAUAUGAAUAGCAACAACACUUAAGAAAUAUAUAUAUAUAUAUAUAAUGUAACCAACAUAAUGUAACCAACAUAUUCCUUAGUAAAAAUGGUGGAAUUUUACCAAAAUAAGGAGUAAAUAUUUAAUAUAUUUUUAUAUGUAUAUAUGUAUUUUUUAUGUAUUUAAGAGAGAGAAAAAAUAGAAAAAAUUUGUGUGUAUUUGUUUAUUCUUAAGAGAGAAGAGAAAGAAAAACAUAAUUUGUGUGUGAUAAAAAAAAUGUGCAUAUGCAUUUGUGUAUUUUUGGAAGAAAAAAUAAAAAAUGAGAAAAGAUUUUUUCUUGUAUUUUUUGUGUAUGUAUUUGAGAAAGAAAAAAUAUACGUGGAUAUAUGAAAAUAUGUGUAUAGAGAAAAGAUGAAUAAAAUUAUUUUUUACCAUUGCCUAUUUAUAAUAAAAUUGAACACUUUCUAUUACCCAAUGGAUAAAAAGUGUCCCCUCUUUUUAUAAUAGCACAUUCUUUAGUCCUUAAGAUAUUGAUUAAAGGAUGUUCAUCCUUUUUAUCAAUGAAUAGAAUUAUUGUUCAAAGAAUAGUAUCAUUGAGUUGUCAUUGUCAAAUGUGAGAAGACAUUAUGUGUUGUCAUUAUCGGAUGUGACAAGACAUAAUUGUAUAGUCAUUGUCAGAUGCGACAAAACAUUAUUAUGCGGUCGUUGUUGAAUGCGACAAGACAUUAAAUUAUUAUACUGUGUAAAAAUAAUUUAUCCGACUUAGCAUUUACGGAUCAUAAAAAUAUAUAAAAUACAAAUAUUAAUUUGUAAUUAUGAAAAAUAUAAAGAAUAUUGAAAAUAUUUUUAAAAUAUAAUUUAGUAAGAAAAAUAUUAUAAAAAUGUGAUGUCAUGUCGUGUACGCGUACAGAUAAUUAUAAAAUAUUAAAAAUAAUAAUAAAUUGAUAGAAACCCUAUUAUAAGAAUGAUUAUUAAUAAAUUAUGAAAAGUAAAAAUACGAUAAUAAAUUGAUAAAAAUUCUAAAAUAAGAAUGAUUAUUAAUAAUUUGUCAAUAAUUAUAAAAAAAGAUGUGAAAACUAUAUUUUAUGUUUUUUAAGGAUUAGGAAGUUUGAAAAUGUUAAUUUUAGACAUGAUGAGUAAAAAUUGAAUGUGAAUACAAAUUCAUGGUUUAAGCUUUUGUUCGUGGAAAUUUGGUGGUUGUAUCAAUCUCAUAAGAGAUUCAACCCCCUAAUUGAAGGAAAAAGUAGGGUAAACGACGAAAAAGCAUGCUAAUCGACAUAAUCAGAUAUAAAACUAAGGAGAGAUAAAGAGAGGCGGAUUCAUACAGUUUACAUCAUUACUGUAGCACUCAGCUCAGAUUCACGAAACAUGGGUGUUAAUUUAACCCAAAUCCUUAGAUAUGAUAGUUAUCUAUUGAUUUUAAAGAGUAGAGUACAGAUUGGCACUUAUCUCAUAGAUUCGAGCUAUCUACAGUGAUGGAGGAUUAGAAAAUUGAUGUUUGACACUGAUCUUUUUGACCUGAGCUAGAUGUAGUGGUAGAUGGGCUUGAAGGAAGACAAGGGUACAGCAAUAGGGAGCCUCCACAGUUGAGCUUAUUGUUGAGCUUUCCAUUUUCCUUCCAUUAGCUAAAAUUCCACAUUCUCAACAAUGGGUUAGACAAAUUGUUCGAAAAGAGAGAUUAAGAGAGUACAAAUUUUUUCUACUUUCAUAAAUGUUUAGGGUUUUCUUUGUCUGGUGGUCGGCGUGCCUUGAUUGUUUGUUUUGGGCCCGGUCACUUUUGGGUCUGGCCUUUUGUAAAUAUUGAUUUUUUUUUUUAAUAAAAGGGCUAACAGUCCAAUUUAAUUUUUAAAAAGAAAUCAUGUGGUGGACCCUCUUGGAUUGUUUUAUGAAAUGUGG
rnacentral:lncRNA from 1 species